rnacentral:rRNA from 1 species
AAAUUGAAGAGUUUGAUCAUGGCUCAGAUUGAACGCUGGCGGCAGGCCUAACACAUGCAAGUCGAGCGGUAGCACAGAGAGCUUGCUCUCGGGUGACGAGCGGCGGACGGGUGAGUAAUGUCUGGGAAACUGCCUGAUGGAGGGGGAUAACUACUGGAAACGGUAGCUAAUACCGCAUAACGUCGCAAGACCAAAGUGGGGGACCUUCGGGCCUCAUGCCAUCAGAUGUGCCCAGAUGGGAUUAGCUAGUAGGUGGGGUAAUGGCUCACCUAGGCGACGAUCCCUAGCUGGUCUGAGAGGAUGACCAGCCACACUGGAACUGAGACACGGUCCAGACUCCUACGGGAGGCAGCAGUGGGGAAUAUUGCACAAUGGGCGCAAGCCUGAUGCAGCCAUGCCGCGUGUAUGAAGAAGGCCUUCGGGUUGUAAAGUACUUUCAGCGAGGAGGAAGGCGUUAAGGUUAAUAACCUUGGCGAUUGACGUUACUCGCAGAAGAAGCACCGGCUAACUCCGUGCCAGCAGCCGCGGUAAUACGGAGGGUGCAAGCGUUAAUCGGAAUUACUGGGCGUAAAGCGCACGCAGGCGGUCUGUCAAGUCGGAUGUGAAAUCCCCGGGCUCAACCUGGGAACUGCAUUCGAAACUGGCAGGCUAGAGUCUUGUAGAGGGGGUAGAAUUCCAGGUGUAGCGGUGAAAUGCGUAGAGAUCUGGAGGAAUACCGGUGGCGAAGGCGGCCCCCUGGACAAAGACUGACGCUCAGGUGCGAAAGCGUGGGGAGCAAACAGGAUUAGAUACCCUGGUAGUCCACGCCGUAAACGAUGUCGACUUGGAGGUUGUGCCCUUGAGGCGUGGCUUCCGGAGCUAACGCGUUAAGUCGACCGCCUGGGGAGUACGGCCGCAAGGUUAAAACUCAAAUGAAUUGACGGGGGCCCGCACAAGCGGUGGAGCAUGUGGUUUAAUUCGAUGCAACGCGAAGAACCUUACCUACUCUUGACAUCCAGAGAACUUAGCAGAGAUGCUUUGGUGCCUUCGGGAACUCUGAGACAGGUGCUGCAUGGCUGUCGUCAGCUCGUGUUGUGAAAUGUUGGGUUAAGUCCCGCAACGAGCGCAACCCUUAUCCUUUGUUGCCAGCGGUCCGGCCGGGAACUCAAAGGAGACUGCCAGUGAUAAACUGGAGGAAGGUGGGGAUGACGUCAAGUCAUCAUGGCCCUUACGAGUAGGGCUACACACGUGCUACAAUGGCAUAUACAAAGAGAAGCGACCUCGCGAGAGCAAGCGGACCUCAUAAAGUAUGUCGUAGUCCGGAUUGGAGUCUGCAACUCGACUCCAUGAAGUCGGAAUCGCUAGUAAUCGUAGAUCAGAAUGCUACGGUGAAUACGUUCCCGGGCCUUGUACACACCGCCCGUCACACCAUGGGAGUGGGUUGCAAAAGAAGUAGGUAGCUUAACCUUCGGGAGGGCGCUUACCACUUUGUGAUUCAUGACUGGGGUGAAGUCGUAACAAGGUAACCGUAGGGGAACCUGCGGUUGGAUCACCUCCUUACCUUAAAGAA